GGUAAUUCCAGCUCCAAUAGCGUAUAUUAAAGUUGCUGCAGUUAAAAAGCUCGUAGUUGAAUUUCGGGGUCAAUAUGUUGGUCGUGCCUUGGUACGUACUAGCUUAUUGAUUUCUCCUUUCUGACGAACCAUGAUGUCAUUAAUUUGGUGUCAUGGGGAAUCAGGACUGUUACUUUGAAAAAAUUAGAGUGUUUAAAGCAAGCUAACGCUUGAAUACAUUAGCAUGGAAUAAUGAAAUAGGACGUUCGAUCCUAUUUUGUUGGUUUCUAGGAUUGACGUAAUGAUUAAUAGGGAUAGUUGGGGGCAUUAGUAUUCAAUUGUCAGAGGUGAAAUUCUUGGAUUUAUUGAAGACUAACUACUGCGAAAGCAUUUGCCAAGGAUGUUUUCAUUAAUCAAGAACGAAAGUUAGGGGAUCGAAGACGAUCAGAUACCGUCGUAGUCUUAACCAUAAACUAUGCCGACUAGGGAUCGGAUGAUGU
rnacentral:rRNA from 1 species